GACGAACGCUGGCGGCGUGGAUUAGGCAUGCAAGUCGAACGGUAUCAUCCUUUCGGGGGUGAGAGAGUGGCGAACUGGUGAGUAACACGUAGGUUAUCUACCCUCAAGACGGGGACAACCCAGGGAAACUUGGGCUAAUACCGGAUGUGAGCAACUUUUAGUUGUUUGAAAGGUGGCGUAAGCUGUCGCUUGGGGAUGAGCCUGCGUCCUAUUAGUUACGUUGGUGAGGUAACGGCUCACCUAGGCAAUGAUAGGUAGGCGGCCUUAACGGGUGGUCGCCCACACUGGGAUUGAGAUACGGCCCAGACUCCUACGGGAGGCAGCAGUCGAGAAUAGUCUACAAUGGUCGGAAGACUGAUAGUGCGACGCCGCGUGAACGAUGAAUCCCUUCGGGGUGUAAAGUUCUUUUAUAUGUGAGCAGUGCUUCUUAUAUUAACAGUAUGGGGAGAGAGAUAUUAGCAUAUGAAUAAGCAACGGCUAACUCCGUGCCAGCAGCCGCGGUAAUCU
rnacentral:rRNA from 1 species